AGAGUUUGAUCCUGGCUCAGGCUGAACGCUGGCAGCAUGGAUAAGGCAUGCAAGUCGAGAGGGUUUAGACCCUCGGCAAACGGGUUAGUAACACGUAGGGAAUUCCCCCGGAAGUGGAGAAUAACCCGCCGAAAGGCGGGAUAAUACUCCAUGGUCCUCUAUAACUUCGGUUAUAUAGGUAAAGAUUUAUCGCUUCCGGAGAAUCCUGCGUCCUAUCAGCUAGUUGGUAAGGUAACGGCUUACCAAGGCUACGACGGGUAGGGGGUGUGAGAGCAUGACCCCCAACACUGGAACUGAGAACUGUCCAGACACCUACGGGUGGCUGCAGUCGAGAAUCUUCGGCAAUGCACGAAAGUGUGACCGAGCGAUGCUGCGUGCAGGAAGAAGGCCUUCGGGUUGUAAACUGCUGUCGUGUGGGAAGAACUUUGACGGUACCACACAAGAAAGGGGCGCCUAACUUCGUGCCAGCAGGCGCGGUAAUACGAAGGCCCCAAGCGUUAGCCGGAAUAACUGGGCGUAAAGCGUCUGUAGGUGGAAUAGCACGUCUGCUGUUAAAUCUGAGGGCUCAACCCUCUAGGCUGCGGUGGAUACGGCUAUUCUUGAGGUAUGGAGAGGUAAGCGGAACUCCUGGUGGAGCGGUGAAAUGCGUUGAUAUCAGGGGGAACACCAAUUGCGAAGGCAGCUUACUGGCCAUGUCCUGACACUGAGAGACGAAAGCGUGGGGAGCGAAUGGGAUUAGAUACCCCCGUAGUCC
rnacentral:rRNA from 1 species